AAAGUCGUAACAAGGUUUCCGUAGGUGAACCUGCGGAAGGAUCAUUAACAAAGAUUUAUAAAAUUAAUCUUAGAUCAACCUGUGAAUCACUUUUUUUAUAAUUUAUUACAUCAUCACCUUUUUAUUUUAUUUACUUAUUUUUCUAAACUAUAAUAAAAAUUAAUAUUAUAAAACUUUCAGCAACGGAUCUCUAGGCUCUU
rnacentral:misc_RNA from 1 species